UUCAAUAUAGCAAGUAAUGUGCGUUAAAUUUAGAAUUUAAAGAUGAAGAUUUUCUAUUGAUC
rnacentral:tRNA from 1 species